rnacentral:rRNA from 1 species
AUGAACGCUAGCUACAGGUUUAACACAUGCAAGUCGAGGGGCAGCAUGGUCUUAGCUUGCUAAGGCCGAUGGCGACCGGCGCACGGGUGAGUAACGCGUAUCCAACCUGCCUUACACUCUUGGACAGCCUUCUGAAAGGGAGAUUAAUACAAGAUGUUAUCAUGAGUAAGCGUUUUCGCAUGAUUAAAGGUUUACCGGUGUAAGAUGGGGAUGCGUUCCAUUAGAUAGUAGGCGGGGUAACGGCCCACCUAGUCUUCGAUGGAUAGGGGUUCUGAGAGGAAGGUCCCCCACAUUGGAACUGAGACACGGUCCAAACUCCUACGGGAGGCAGCAGUGAGGAAUAUUGGUCAAUGGACGAGAGUCUGAACCAGCCAAGUAGCGUGAAGGAUGAAGGUUCUAUGGAUUGUAAACUUCUUUUAUACGGGAAUAAACGAAUCCACGUGUGGAUUUUUGCAUGUACCGUAUGAAUAAGGAUCGGCUAACUCCGUGCCAGCAGCCGCGGUAAUACGGAGGAUCCGAGCGUUAUCCGGAUUUAUUGGGUUUAAAGGGAGCGUAGAUGGGUUGUUAAGUCAGUUGUGAAAGUUUGCGGCUCAACCGUAAAAUUGCAAUUGAUACUGGCAGUCUUGAGUACAGUUGAGGUAGGCGGAAUUCGUGGUGUAGCGGUGAAAUGCUUAGAUAUCACGAAGAACUCCGAUUGCGAAGGCAGCUUACUAACCUGUAACUGACAUUGAUGCUCGAAAGUGUGGGUAUCAAACAGGAUUAGAUACCCUGGUAGUCCACACGGUAAACGAUGAAUACUCGCUGUAGGCGAUAUACAGUCUGCGGCCAAGCGAAAGCAUUAAGUAUUCCACCUGGGGAGUACGCCGGCAACGGUGAAACUCAAAGGAAUUGACGGGGGCCCGCACAAGCGGAGGAACAUGUGGUUUAAUUCGAUGAUACGCGAGGAACCUUACCCGGGCUUAAAUUGCAACCGAAUAUGGCGGAAACGCUAUAGCUAGCAAUAGCGGUUGUGAAGGUGCUGCAUGGUUGUCGUCAGCUCGUGCCGUGAGGUGUCGGCUUAAGUGCCAUAACGAGCGCAACCCUUGCCGAUAGUUACUAACAGGUUAUGCUGAGGACUCUGUCGGGACUGCCAUCGUAAGAUGUGAGGAAGGUGGGGAUGACGUCAAAUCAGCACGGCCCUUACGUCCGGGGCUACACACGUGUUACAAUGGGGGGUACAGAGGGCUGCUACCACGCAAGUGGAUGCCAAUCCCAAAAACCUCUCUCAGUUCGGAUUGAAGUCUGCAACCCGACUUCAUGAAGCUGGAUUCGCUAGUAAUCGCGCAUCAGCCACGGCGCGGUGAAUACGUUCCCGGGCCUUGUACACACCGCCCGUCAAGCCAUGGGAGCCGGGGGUACCUGAAGUGCGUAACCGCAAGGAGCGCCCUAGGGUAAAACUGGUGACUGGGGCU